GUGGAUGUAGCUCAACUGGUUAGAGCACCAGAUUGUGGUUCUGGGGGUUGGGGGUUCAAGUCCCCUCAUCCACCC
rnacentral:tRNA from 1 species